rnacentral:rRNA from 1 species
GGAGUUAGCCGGUGCUUCUUCUGUGAGUGAUGUCCUUCCUGCCGGCUAUUAACCCGCAGGCCUUCUUCCUCACUGAAAGUGCUUUACAACCCGAAGGCCUUCUUCACACACGCGGCAUGGCUGGAUCAGGGUUGCCCCCAUUGUCCAAUAUUCCCCACUGCUGCCUCCCGUAGGAGUCUGGGCCGUGUCUCAGUCCCAGUGUGGCUGAUCAUCCUCUCAGACCAGCUACGGAUCGUCGCCUUGGUGAGCCGUUACCUCACCAACCAGCUAAUCCGACAUAGGCUCAUCCGAUAGCGCGAGGCCCGAAGGUCCCCCGCUUUCCCCCGUAGGGCGUAUGCGGUAUUAGCCUGGGUUUCCCCAGGUUAUCCCCCACUACCGGGCAGAUUCCUAUGCAUUACUCACCCGUCCUCCGCUCGCCACCAGGGAGCAAGCUCCCCGUGCUGCCGCUCGACUUACAUGUGUUAGGCCUGCCGCCAGCGUUCAAUCUGAGCCAGAAUCGAACCCUGA